AGUGAACGCUGGCGGUAGGCCUAACACAUGCAAGUCGAACGGCAGCACAGUAAGAGCUUGCUCUUACGGGUGGCGAGUGGCGGACGGGUGAGGAAUACAUCGGAAUCUACUUUUUCGUGGGGGAUAACGUAGGGAAACUUACGCUAAUACCGCAUACGACCUACGGGUGAAAGCAGGGGAUCUUCGGACCUUGCGCGAUUGAAUGAGCCGAUGUCGGAUAGGUAGUUGGCGGGGUAAAGGCCCACCAAGGCGACGAUCCGUAGCUGGUCUGAGGGGAUGAUCAGCCACACUGGAACUGAGACACGGUCCAGACUCCUACGGGAGGCAGCAGUGGGGAAUAUUGGACAAUGGGCGCAAGCCUGAUCCAGCCAUACCGCGUGGGUGAAGAAGGCCUUCGGGUUGUAAAGCCCUUUUGUUGGGAAAGAAAAGCAGCAGGUUAAUACCCCGCUGUUCUGACGGUACCCAAAGAAUAAGCACCGGCUAACUUCGUG
rnacentral:rRNA from 1 species